CAACCAAGCGCGGGUAAAC
rnacentral:snRNA from 1 species